rnacentral:lncRNA from 1 species
UUUGGGAUCAACAAUUCUUUUGUCAGCUGUACAUGUGCUACAAUGUAUUCAUGCGUCUGUAGUCAUUAUCAUAAGAAUCAUGAUUUCUUUCAUAGAUGGUGAGUUUUCAUUGGCGACUCCAAUCCCUAUAUCGCACAAAUAUUUAAAUGGCCUACAUGUACAAAGAAAAUUUACAGAAAUAAAUGAUGUUUGGCACACAAUUUGGAAAUGUAUGACGUUUUUAAUGCAAUCA